rnacentral:rRNA from 1 species
UACGUAGGUGGCGAGCGUUAUCCGGAAUUACUGGGUGUAAAGGGUGUGUAGGCGGGAGUGCAAGUCAGACGUGAAAACUAUGGGCUCAACCCAUAACGUGCGUUUGAAACUGUGCUUCUUGAGAGUGGGAGAGGUAAACGGAAUUCCUGGUGUAGUAGUGAAAUGCGUAGAUAUCAGGAGGAACACCGGUGGCGAAGGCGGUUUACUGGACCACAACUGACGCUGAGACACGAAAGCGUGGGGAGCAAACA